CUAUAAUCGACUUCAAGAAAAAAAUGAAGAAUAGAUUGUAUUGGAGAUUUGUUUUGCUUUCAAAAGAAAAAUAGUGGUUGAUCAUCCAAAAAAUAUAUAUCAUGUAUCAUACAAUAUUUACAACUCUUAUUGUAGCUUGCCUUCUCUGUUCAUAUUCCACAAAAGCCACAGAACCCCUCAUCCACAGCAUAAACCAUCAUAUUUAUAUUUAUCAACAUAUCAUAGUACAUGCAUCUCUAGAAACCAUAGUGCCACACCAUUCUUACUAAAACCAUUAGGUAUACAACACUAGAUACCCACUUCAUCAAGGAUGGGGUGGACCAUGUGGUGCAGGUGGACCGGGUGGGGGCGGUGCAUGGGGAGCAGGAUGCCCCCCACGUCCAGGAGGAGGAGGAGCAGGAGCAUGUGGACCUACUGGGCCUCCAUGAGGAGCACCAGGACCAUGUGGCUCAUGGCCUUGUGGCUUGUGAGGCUGGGGAGGAUCCAUCUUCCAACUUCUUCCUCUUGUCCUCCUGCCUUAACAUAGAGAAGGCUGAAGAAUAAGUAGACAGCAGAAGAGAAUGUUAGAGUUGACUGGGCUUGUGAGAAUGUUAGAGUUGAUGAGUUUGUUUGAUAUCUGUAGGUCAUACCUGCAAUUCUUGGGGGCGAGAUUCUUAUUGCGCCGCGCGCGGUGAUUGGCAAGCCCGGAGGCCCCUCACCCUACCCCACCCGGCUUGUUUGUUCGAUAUCUGUAGGUCAUACCUGCAAACCUGCAAUUCUUGGGGGCGAGAUUCUUAUUGCGCCGCGCGCGGUGAUUGGCGCGCCCGGAGCCCCUCAACCCACCCCACCCGGCUUGUGAGUUUGUUCGAUAUCUGUAGGUCAUACCUGCAAUUUUUGGGGACGAGAUUAUUAUUGCACUGCUGCACCGUACACGAUCAUUGGCGUACACGAAGCCGCCGCCGCCGCCUCCUCCUCCUCCUCCUCCU
rnacentral:lncRNA from 1 species